ACGACUUUAUCAUCCUCAACAGAUUUCCUCCAGACCUUCAUCUCCACAUCAAACCUCGUACCGCCGAUGUCGAUUCUCAAUAGGUUGAACGGUGUUUUAUCUGCUAUAUCUGCUUUUGGACGGCUUUUGCUGAUGGGGCUGGCGGUGGUGGUGGUUUGUUCAAGGAUUUUGGACGGCUUUUGCUGCUGGGGCUGGUGGUGGUGGUGGUUUUCGUUGCGGCUUUCUGGCCAGCAUCACGAUCAUGUCAAAGCUAUUGCAGAAGAAAUGGGGAUUAGAUUGCUACGUGUGAGAGCAAUCAAAGGGAACACCAACAUAGCACGAGAUGAGAUGAGGUCGAGUUCUUGGGACAGUGACAAGAUCCUUCACUAGGUGCAAUUGGCUAUGCAGAUAGGCUGGCAUUCGCACUAGAUAAAUGCUGAAAGGGAUUUGAGAAUACCGAUUCUAGCCUUUCAGUUUUAGCAGGGGAAUUGAAGAAGUUAAGGUUUUGGUAGCUGUACAGAUUCGUCUACUGUUACAUUUUCGUAUUGCUAUAGAAAAUUUCAUAGCGUUGUUGGCCAAAUGGUCUCUGAUAUUCUUGAUUCUAUUUGUUAUAUAUAACUAAGACGACUUCCCUUUAAAAACCAAAAUCAAAGGCUUACAACUCUUAAUGCUUGAGCAUUCUGUUUCAGGUGAUGCUAAUCUGUGGGACGAUAGUGAUGGGAUAUAUGCAGAUGGUCAACUAUGGCUUGAAGAUCACCAUAUAAUCGGAAGAGUGAUUGGUUUCAACUUCUGAGAUUUUGGCAGAUUGAGUGGUUUGGGGACCGAUUAUGCAAGGCAUGCUUUGAUGCGGGUUUUCAAAAAUCCAAGGGAGGGGCCCUUUACCAAAAAGGAGUUGGAUGAAGUUUGAGACAAGUGGGCUACUUACUUCAAUGAUUGUGAACUACCCUCAGUGUAAUAAAUAGAGAAGGCUUGUAGUUAUUCGUGACUCUUACAUUAUUUUGUUAUUUAUCGAUUUAAUUAAUUACAUUUGAAUUAAUUCGGUAAUAUUAUUGGAAAUUUGAAAUUUAUAUCAUUUUUGAGAAUGUCAAGCUGAUGUUUGAUGAA